rnacentral:sRNA from 1 species
AGCAACCCGAGAAAUCCGGGUCCUCCGGGUCC